CGAGAAAUUGAAAAGAUGAAAAUUUGUAAUCACCAAUUGAUUUCUAGAAAGACGAAGGGUCAAAGAUGUAGAAGACGAUGAGUCGACUCUCUCCUGUCAAUACAUUUCUCUAAACCCCCACUGUCCCUCUCGACCUUUCCCAUUCAAAUCGUAUCUCCUUAGUCAUUUGAUUUCUAAAACCUAAACUCCUGAUUUCUAGAUACUAUCUCACGCUCGAUUUCUGUUAAUAAGAAGAGUGAAUAAAGGAGUUAGAGUUUAAAGUUUUAUUCGGCCUUCAGUAGGAUGCCAUUGACUUGACGGUCUUAAGAGUGAAAAAGAAGCUAUCAUUCUAGAAAAUAAUCUUUAUAGUCGAUGUGGGAGCUUGCAAGUGCCUAGCAAAAUAAAUUGACUCCAAACAAGAAGUCAGCCAUCAAGCAAAAAGAAACUAUUGAGGAAUGAAACAAGUAGGUGGAUUUGGUAGGGGUUAGCUUCAAAGAAUGCACAAAGAAAUUGUUUUAGGUGGUUUGUGUUUAUUGAUAAGAUUUUUUUUCACUGUAAAAUUUAUUGCAUUUUUGUUAUUUAAAGUUUUUUUUUGUAUAUUUGUUUGGUCUAUUCUUCCUCAUAAACAGGGGGCAUUUUUUAAUUUUUUGUCCGGGGCAUAGAAAACCAAUGGACCGGCCCUGAUUGUAACAAUAUAAAGAAGUCUUUUAAAUGUUUCUUCAGAAAAGGGGGGUGUAUUAACACCUCUAGAGCAUACAUUUUUGCUUUUCAUGUUUUUCAAUAAGAUAUAUGUACACUAAACAGUCAUUUAUAGUUCGUUGAAUUCUCUUUCCCUAAAACAUAUUCCAUGUACUACCAGCUAAUAUGUUAUUCAAGAA